rnacentral:rRNA from 1 species
CUGAUGUGGGGGAUAACCAUUGGAAACGAUGGCUAAUACCGCAUAAUACCUACGGGUCAAAGAGGGGGACCUUCGGGCCUCUCGCGUCAGGAUAUGCCUAGGUGGGAUUAGCUAGUUGGUGAGGUAAUGGCUCACCAAGGCGACGAUCCCUAGCUGGUCUGAGAGGAUGAUCAGCCACACUGGAACUGAGACACGGUCCAGACUCCUACGGGAGGCAGCAGUGGGGAAUAUUGCACAAUGGGCGCAAGCCUGAUGCAGCCAUGCCGCGUGUGUGAAGAAGGCCUUCGGGUUGUAAAGCACUUUCAGUCGUGAGGAAGGUAGUGUAGUUAAUAGCUGCAUUAUUUGACGUUAGCGACAGAAGAAGCACCGGCUAACUCCGUGCCAGCAGCCGCGGUAAUACGGAGGGUGCGAGCGUUAAUCGGAAUUACUGGGCGUAAAGCGCAUGCAGGUGGUUUGUUAAGUCAGAUGUGAAAGCCCGGGGCUCAACCUCGGAAUAGCAUUUGAAACUGGCAGACUA